CCUACAAUUGGCUCUUGUGCUUCAAGAACGAGCAGUCUUUUCCGAGGCAAAGGCUGUACCUUAUUUUCAUGACCUCAAGUAAAGGAAUGUUGAGUGUCCUCACUCGGGAAUAGACGCCACUUCGGACGGGGCAAUCAUCGUAAACUACAAACGCUCGGGCAGAAUAGCCAAGGCGUCUCUGGUGUGAUUUUUGGCCUUGAUUACCUGAAACAGAUAAUGGAGAUUCGCAUUAUUCCUUCUUUUUCUAACACGAGCCCAAAAAAGCAUGCCGAUUUACGAGGGGCGGAAGCGAUAAUCAGACCAAACAAGUGGCUCGAAAAGAAGACCUUCUACUCAAGUUGUAGUCAUGAUUUAGAACCGCCCGUGAGGAGUCUCGCUUAACCAUGUUAAGCUCAAAGAGAUCUAGUUAAUGAGAUGAAACCGAGAAAUUCAUCAACCGAAAGGGCCUCAACUGAUGAAUGAAAACCGACGAACCAGUGGAAAACCCUCCUUGAAUGGUUGCUCCGACCGAACUGAUUCCAACGAACGGCGGUCACCUUGCCUCUCUCUCCUUCCCUCCUUCUUUCUGUCUAACCGUCCAACCAUCCAACCACCGAGCGAUGCAAGUCUGGUUCCAUCGUUCGUUCGUUCGUUCGUUCAGCCGUCUUUUUGGUCGAUGGGAUGUGUAGUUUGGUGUACGUAUGCGAACGUCCGGACAUGCGUGCUUUUUGUACAUGGAAUGAGCGAAUUGAGAUUUCCAGGGGGUUUUCAGUCGGGCUUUUAGCGAGGCAAUUUCCAGUCCGGCAACCCGACGACUCAAGACGAACGGGAGGAGGGCCUACCUUCAUCACCUUCUUCAAUAGAGUUGGAAAUUCAAUGUGAUCACAGUCCAAUGCUCGAGUCCACAAUUUGACUAAGACUUUGAACGAUAUUGUUUCUCUGUGAUUGUGUAAUACAAUUCACCAAUGACCUUCAAUGUCCAUCUACUUCUGAAAUUCCUCCCUCAUCUUGAAACAUCAAUCCAAUUAUUUGCCUACUUGAUUAUAUCAAUAUGAAUGAACAUUUUGGCAGUC